CGAAAGCCUGACGGAGCAAUACCGCGUGAGGGAGGAAGGCUCUAGGGUUGUAAACCUCUUUUCUCAGGGAAGAACAAAAUGACGGUACCUGAGGAAUAAGCAUCGGCUAACUCCGUGCCAACAGCCGCGGUAAUACGGAGGAUGCAAGCGUUAUCCGGAUUUAUUGGGCGUAAAGCGUCCGCAGGUGGCAGUUCAAGUCUGCUGUCAAAGGUCGGGGCUCAACCCCGAACAGGCAGUGGAAACUGAACAGCUAGAGUACGGUAGGGGCAGAGGGAAUUCCCAGUGUAGCGGUGAAAUGCGUAGAGAUUGGGAAGAACACCGGUGGCGAAGGCGCUCUGCUAGGCCGAAACUGACACUCAUGGACGAAAGCUAGGGGAGCGAAUGGGAUUAGAU
rnacentral:rRNA from 1 species